rnacentral:lncRNA from 1 species
GGGUGAGCUAGAUAUACAAACAUCAUACUAUUACAAUAACACACAACAUACAUGUUUAAUUCAAGUAUACUGGAUCACACAUCAUAACUUGUUACACUUUAAACUUGACUCGUCCAGACUUAGAAUGAUUGUCGAACUAUGGCGGGUCAUGCACUCCCGGUGGCCUCUACUGCUUUGCAAAGUCAUUGUCAAUGGGUUUCACCUUACCACACUCACGAGGUUAGUCUGUUGCGGACCUUGAGGCAUACUAGAAGCCUCCAAGACUAAGACCUCCUGUUACUCCUCACGACAUGGUUCAAUCCUCUCUACUUGAGAAUGAAAUACCAUUGGAGUUUUAGGAUAACCCCCAAGACUGAGCUUACUGCAAUCAUUUUAAACUUACACAGACACUACCAUGCA